GAUUGGUGCUUGCAUCAUGAUUUACAUUUGAGUGAGUGGCGAACUGGUGAGUAACACGUGGGAAACCUGCCCAGAAGCGGGGGAUAACACCUGGAAACAGAUGCUAAUACCGCAUAACAACUUGGACCGCAUGGUCCGAGUUUGAAAGAUGGCUUCGGCUAUCACUUUUGGAUGGUCCCGCGGCGUAUUAGCUAGAUGGUGAGGUAACGGCUCACCAUGGCAAUGAUACGUAGCCGACCUGAGAGGGUAAUCGGCCACAUUGGGACUGAGACACGGCCCAAACUCCUACGGGAGGCAGCAGUAGGGAAUCUUCCACAAUGGACGAAAGUCUGAUGGAGCAACGCCGCGUGAGUGAAGAAGGGUUUCGGCUCGUAAAACUCUGUUGUUAAAGAAGAACAUAUCUGAGAGUAACUGUUCAGGUAUUGACGGUAUUUAACCAGAAAGCCACGGCUAACUACGUGCCAGCAGCCGCGGUAAUACGUAGGUGGCAAGCGUUGUCCGGAUUUAUUGGGCGUAAAGCGAGCGCAGGCGGUUUUUUAAGUCUGAUGUGAAAGCCUUCGGCUCAACCGAAGAAGUGCAUCGGAAACUGGGAAACUUGAGUGCAGAAGAGGACAGUGGAACUCCAUGUGUAGCGGUGAAAUGCGUAGAUAUAUGGAAGAACACCAGUGGCGAAGGCGGCUGUCUGGUCUGUAACUGACGCUGAGGCUCGAAAGUAUGGGUAGCAAACAGGAUUAGAUACCCUGGUAGUCCAUACCGUAAACGAUGAAUGCUAAGUGUUGGAGGGUUUCCGCCCUUCAGUGCUGCAGCUAACGCAUUAAGCAUUCCGCCUGGGGAGUACGGCCGCAAGGCUGAAACUCAAAGGAAUUGACGGGGGCCCGCACAAGCGGUGGAGCAUGUGGUUUAAUUCGAAGCUACGCGAAGAACCUUACCAGGUCUUGACAUACUAUGCAAAUCUAAGAGAUUAGACGUUCCCUUCGGGGACAUGGAUACAGGUGGUGCAUGGUUGUCGUCAGCUCGUGUCGUGAGAUGUUGGGUUAAGUCCCGCAACGAGCGCAACCCUUAUUAUCAGUUGCCAGCAUUAAGUUGGGCACUCUGGUGAGACUGCCGGUGACAAACCGGAGGAAGGUGGGGAUGACGUCAAAUCAUCAUGCCCCUUAUGACCUGGGCUACACACGUGCUACAAUGGAUGGUACAACGAGUUGCGAACUCGCGAGAGUAAGCUAAUCUCUUAAAGCCAUUCUCAGUUCGGAUUGUAGGCUGCAACUCGCCUACAUGAAGUCGGAAUCGCUAGUAAUCGCGGAUCAGCAUGCCGCGGUGAAUACGUUCCCGGGCCUUGUACACACCGCCCGUCACACCAUGAGAGUUUGUAACACCCAAAGUCGGUGGGGU
rnacentral:rRNA from 2 species